GGGCUUGACAUCCCACGAACCUGCCCGAAAGGGUUGGGUGCCCGCAAGGGAGCGUGGAGACAGGUGGUGCAUGGCUGUCGUCAGCUCGUGUCGUGAGAUGUUGGGUUAAGUCCCGCAACGAGCGCAACCCUCACCCCUUGUUGCCACCGGGUAAAGCCGAGCACUCUAGGGGAACUGCUAGCGUCAAGCUGGAGGAAGGUGGGGAUGACGUCAAGUCAUCAUGCCCCUUACGCCCUGGGCUACACACGUGCUACAAUGGCCGGUACAAAGGGAUGCAAGACCGCGAGGUGGAGCUAACCCCAAAAAACCGGUCUAAGUUCAGAUUGCAGUCUGCAACUCGACUGCAUGAAGGAGGAAUCGCUAGUAAUCGCGCAUCAGCACGGCGCGGUGAAUACGUUCCCGGGCCUUGUACACACCGCCCGUCACACCACGAAAGCCGGCUGUACUCGAAGUCGCUGAGA
rnacentral:rRNA from 1 species